UAUAGGUGUACCAGAAUCUCAUGGCAAACAAAAAUAUUGGAAAAGUGUGUUUUUCAUAUGGCCAUUGUCUAUGGCUUUAUUGUCACCUGUCAAAGUAAAUCAAGAGAUCUGUCAGCCGCUGCAGAAAUUUUGUAAUCUCUUCAUGCCUAUUUGUUAUUUUUGUGAAAAAGACGAAAAAACUCAAGCAAGUCAUAUUGUUUUCAAAGUGUAUUGUAAAAUAAGGCAUAAUUCAAAGUCAAUCUUUGAUUUUAAAGCGCGUCGUUGAGUUGACAGUGUAUUUCAUGCAUUGGUGCAGAGGAAUGGUGAAAAUGUUAUGACCAUGUAAAGAAAAUUGAAAAAGAUUUCAAGCAAGUUUCAUCUAUUUGAAGAACAAGAAAUGCAAGUGGAUUUCUUAGAAUCGUUUUCUAGUUCUAAAUGAAGUGAUAAGUUAUAAGUAUGAUACUUAAUAAAAUUAUUUACAGUAAUAUACGGUUUACUUAUUUUUCAAGACAUGUUCCUAUGUUAAAAACCCGAUGUAUAACAACAUUCUUCAUACACAUACCUAAAAUGUAUAGGUAGGCAUUCGUACUUCAUGUUCAUUAAUAUUAGUCAUAAAUAAAAAUUAAACAGUA